rnacentral:rRNA from 1 species
GGAGGGGGCUAGCGUUGUUCGGAAUUACUGGGCGUAAAGCGCACGUAGGCGGAUUGGGUCAGUUGGGGGGGUGAAAGCCCGAGGGCUUAACCUCGGGAACUGCCCUCAAUACUACCAGUCUAGAGACCGGGAGAGGUGAGUGGAAUUCCUAGUGUAGAGGUGAAAUUCGUAGAUAUUAGGAAGAACACCAGUGGCGAAGGCGGCUCACUGGCCCGGUACUGACGCUGAGGUGCGAAAGCGUGGGGAGCAAACAGGAUUAGAUACCUUGGUAGUCCACGCCGUAAACGAUGGGUGCUAGCUGUCAGGCAGCAUGCUGUUUGGUGGCGCAGCUAACGCAUUAAGCACCCCGCCUGGGGAGUACGGUCGCAAGAUUA